rnacentral:lncRNA from 11 species
AUUGUCUCAUAAGGGGCCUGAUCUGAUAAAAGAUGAAAACUCAUUCAGGUGCAGAAAAGGAGGAGACGAAAACUGAAACUUACAAAAUGUCAAAGAAAUGGGACAAGGUAUCUACAUGAUGUUUUAUGAUAACGUGGAAAUUAUA